CGCACCCAGGUCUGACCGGGUCUCGCUUUUCUCGGAUGCCUCGCACCCGAGCCCUGUGCCCGUUUGCCUCGCAGAGCUCGCAGUCUCCUCCCCCCUCUCUCUCACCAACAACCACGGCCUCACCGUACCAUGCCCACCCCCUCCUCCGUCUCCGAUCUCUUUAGAUCUCCACCGCCCUUCUUCUCCCUCCCGAUCUAAAACCCCAUUUUUUUCCAGCCAAAGGGUCCAAAUUAUUGUUUAAUAUCGUUGAAUAAGAUGAUGGGUCCGGAGACCCACCCCGGGUUUGGAUCACCGCCCC
rnacentral:lncRNA from 1 species